rnacentral:rRNA from 1 species
CUGGCGGCGAGUGGCGAACGGGUGAGUAAUACAUCGGAACGUGCCCAAUCGUGGGGGAUAACGCAGCGAAAGCUGUGCUAAUACCGCAUACGAUCUACGGAUGAAAGCAGGGGAUCGCAAGACCUUGCGCGAAUGGAGCGGCCGAUGGCAGAUUAGGUAGUUGGUGAGGUAAAGGCUCACCAAGCCUUCGAUCUGUAGCUGGUCUGAGAGGACGACCAGCCACACUGGGACUGAGACACGGCCCAGACUCCUACGGGAGGCAGCAGUGGGGAAUUUUGGACAAUGGGCGAAAGCCUGAUCCAGCCAUGCCGCGUGCAGGAUGAAGGCCUUCGGGUUGUAAACUGCUUUUGUACGGAACGAAACGGCCUUUUCUAAUAAAGAGGGCUAAUGACGGUACCGUAAGAAUAAGCACCGGCUAACUACGUGCCAGCAGCCGCGGUAAUACGUAGGGUGCAAGCGUUAAUCGGAAUUACUGGGCGUAAAGCGUGCGCAGGCGGUUAUGUAAGACAGUUGUGAAAUCCCCGGGCUCAACCUGGGAACUGCAUCUGUGACUGCAUAGCUAGAGUACGGUAGAGGGGGAUGGAAUUCCGCGUGUAGCAGUGAAAUGCGUAGAUAUGCGGAGGAACACCGAUGGCGAAG